GACGAACCGUCCUAACGUUGUUCGGAAUCACUGGGCUUAAAGGGCGCGUAGGCGGGUUCCCAAGUCGGUGGUGAAAUCUUUCGGCCCAACCGGAAAACAGCCGCCGAUACUGGGAGUCUUGAGGGAGGUAGGGGUCGAUGGAACUUCCGGUGGAGCGGUGAAAUGCGUAGAUAUCGCUUGGAACGCCGAAGGUGAAAACAGGCUGCUGGGGUUGCGCCGACGCUGAGACACGAAAGCCAGGGGAGCAAACGGG
rnacentral:rRNA from 1 species